UCACCGUAGCUGAUGUCCUAGG
rnacentral:misc_RNA from 1 species